ensembl:lncRNA
CGCCAAUCACGUGGGUCCUUGACCCACAUGGCCACGCCUCCUCCCGGAUCCCAUAUAUCAACACGACUAGAGGGAGUACAGUAAACAAACCGAGGAUAACCAUACGGUUUAAUUAUACCGAACACGACUCGCGGGAGUAGAUAUAAUACAAUAAUAUCAUAUCAUUAAUUUAUGUUCAUGAGACAAACGGAGGAUACACAUAAGGUUUAUGGGAACAUCUACAUCAGUUCUGCUGAGGACAUGCGGAUGUAAAACAAAACAACAGUAGUACAGGACCAUUGCAACACAUCGCUGUCUCCGAACCCCAGAUGAGAUGGACAUCUCAGAGAGUACUCGCAGGGAUCAGCUAGAGAUAUCCAGCAGUGGUUUUACGGAUUCAUCUUCUUGCACUGAAGAGGAAUUAUCUGUGUUUGAAAUUAAAACUGUGCAACCGUUUUCCCUAUCCCUGGAAUCAUCAGAUGAAGAAGACCAACCAGCAGAAGCAAACAAAAAAGUAAAACGCACAAGAAAACCACCUUCAAGAACCAUAGAGGCAAUGGAUAAAGCUGCACAUGGAAGUAACCCUCAACAACGUCAUAUCAACGUGAAAAUGUCCUCAAACACGGAACACCAACGAAUAUAUGAUAAGAAAAAUUACUGCUUUUACUGUGAGAAGCCGUUUGCAAAGAUUACAAGACAUCUGAAGCAAAAGCACUCUGAAGAGGUUGAAGUUGCUAAGGCACUUGCACACAGGCAAGGUUCAACCAUGCAUGUUCUUCUGCUGGGGAAAAUAAGAAAUAUGGGAAAUUACAACCAUAACUGUUCAGUCCUAUCCUCUGGGAAUGGACAAAUAAUACCAAAAAGACAAGCAACCUAUCCAACCACAGCAACAGACUAUCUGCCUUGCAAGUUUUGCUUCGCUAUGUAUGUCAGAAAAGACCUCUGGAGACAUCAUAAGCGUUGCAAACUGCAAGUGGAAAGCGAUGGACCGGUGAAAAGAAAAGUUCAGGCAAGUUGUUCACUGAUGUUGCCCAUGGACACAACAAUUUCCAGCGGACUCAAAGAAAUUCUUCAGGACAUGACAUAUGACAUUGUGACGCAAGUGGUGAAAUCGGACAACCUGAUACUUUCACUGGGAGAAAGAAUGUUCCUAAAAAAUGGAGAAGUUCAACGUCAUCGGGCAGACAUCAGAAACAAGUUGAGGGAACUUGCAAGAUUGGUUUUGAUGGCGCGAAAAAUUGACAAAGACAUUAUCUCUUUGAAGGACUUGAUCAACCCAGGAAAGUUCAACACUGUACUUGAGGCUGUUAAAAAUAUGACUGGGUUUGAUGCAUUGACAAACCGAUUCUCAGCUCCCUCCACAGCACUAAAACUGCGCCACUCCCUUGUGAAGGUGUCGUAUAUUGUGCAAGGAGAGGCUCUGCGUCAACAGGACAAUGUCUUAAAUGAAAGGGCAGAACAGUUCGUCAAAUUAAUUGAACUAGAAUGGACAAAAGACUUGUCAUCCAACGCACUGCAAACCCUGUCCGAAAAUAAAUGGAACAGCCCAGAAGACAUCAAAAAGCUCCAGGAUCAUUUGAAAACCCUUGCAGAGUUGUACAAAAAAGCACUCAUUGUCCAUCCAUCACAAGGGUCAUGGAGUGAGCUCUCACAAGUCACCCUGACACAGCUGAUUUUAUUUAAUCGAUGUUGUGAGAGAGAAGUUUCAAGGAUGGAAGUAACCACAUACUUGCAGAGAAACAAAAGCAGUAUGCACGAUGAAAUUCUGAAGAGCCUCUCACCAUUUGAGAAGAAAUUGUGUGAGAACUUCAUCAGGGUGGAAAUAAGGGGGAAAAGAGGACAGACGGUACCAGUGCUGUUCCCAACAGAUGUACAAGAGUCUGUGGAACUUCUGAUAAGAACAAGAGAUGAGGUUGGAAUUUCCCCAAGCAACCCUUACAUUUUUUCCCACCCACAUUAUGGAUCUCAGGGGAACAUGCGUGGAUGUGAGUGCUUAAAGCGAUAUGCCGAAAGCUGUGGAGCUCAACAUCCAGAAAAUAUCACAUCAACAAAACUACGAAAGCAUGUAGCUACAGUAUCACAGCUUCUGAACCUUCAAACUCGUGAACUUGACCAGCUAGCUACAUUCAUGGGUCAUGAUGUUGAGAUCCAUAGGGAGUUUUACAGACUUCCUGGCGAAACCCUUCAUGUUGCUAAGGUUAGCAAUAUUCUUCAUGCCCUGCAAGAUGGAAUGGGACAAUUCAAGGAAGAAUCCCUGGAAGACAUUACCCCAAACAUCAACUAUGAAGAGGUGUUCAGCAACUUUGAUGCAGAGGAUGUCCAAUCUGAGCAGACUGCCACAACAAGUCAAGAAGGAAACUCAGAGGAUGGAUAUUCUGAUGAAUUCGCUGCUAUCUCAAGACAAGCAAUUGGAGACAUUCAAAAAUCAAGUCAAAAGGCGAAACCCAGAAGACCUUUGUCCGAGACCGAGAGACAAGCUGUGGAACAUCAUUUCAAGGACUAUCUGAUGCAAAUGAAGAUCCCUGGAAAAACGGACUGUCAAGGAUUCUUGAAUGGAAAUCCAAGGCUAAGGGAUCGUGGAAGAGACUGGAAAGUAGUGAAAUACUUCAUGCACAACAAAAUAAUGUCUCUCAAGAGAAAGUUGUGCCAAUAGUAUUAAGACCAAUAGUCAAAAUUAACUGCCGAAUUCUGGGCGCUUGCACUAUGGAGCAUCAAUGUUAUGUGCCUCUGUUAGGUCACUAUUGUUUCCUGUUUGAUUGGGGUCUUCCUCUGGUGACUUUCAGCACCUUCAGACAAUUCUAUUUAGGCAACGGCUCCUAAUUAACCAGUCUCCCCUCACAACUUCACUGCAGCAAAACCUCAGUAGUUUGUUUCCUGGUUUUCAGGUACUUUGCUAUUUGUCAAUAAACUAAAAACGAAGAAAUUAAAACCUUAGUGUUGUGUCCCUUAUUUUGUUCGGCAUUUGAACCAGCCGUAACAUAAUAAUGGGGACAUGUCCGGGAUGAAACAGACCAAGAUCGGCUGUCGCUCAGUACCCAGCAUCCACUACUAAAUGGCAGUUGCUGCGUUUCCUUGGAAUAGCGGGUUAUUAUAGAGCUUUUUGUUGUAACUUUGCUGCCAUUGUUGCUCCACUGACUGAUCUUGUCAGUCCGUCCAGAGAGUUGGUGUGGGAUUCCAGAUGUGAGCAGGCUUUUGAAGCAGUCAAAGCCGUCCACCAGCUCACCAGUCCUAACUGCC